rnacentral:rRNA from 1 species
CUGUGAUGCCCUUAGAUGUUCUGGGCCGCACGCGCGCUACACUGACCGAAUCAACGAGUACUGUCCCUUGGCCGAAAGGUCUGGGUAAUCUUGUUAAAUUCGGUCGUGCUGGGGAUCGAGC